rnacentral:miRNA from 2 species
UAGUAAUGGUAAGGGUUCU